CAUAAACCUAAACAUCAUUAACAAUCCACAAUCAAAACACAUCCGUAUAUCAAUAUUACUACACAUAUAUAUCAUGACCAAAAUUACUUAAACAUUAGAACAUUAGCAUUAAGAUUGAGCCAUUUUUGCAAGGCUAAAUAUAUACAAAUUUGAAAACCAACCAAGACAAAUGCUAGCCUAUACAUGCCAUAUGUUCAAAGUUUCAAGCUUUUAAAAUACUGAAAUAACGUUCGAUAGUGUGACGGAUUUCCUUGACGAUCUCCGAGCUCGUAACUCUCUUCCAAAAUCUAUAAAACACUGAAAGAACACACAAAGUAAGCUUAGAAAGCUUAGUAAGUUAUAAGCAAAUAAAUUAUUUCAAUAACAUACAUAAUUCAAUUUAACAAGGCCAAUCAAGCAAAUCUUUAGCACAUAUACAUUUAUCAUGCUUUCAAAUUCAUAUAAUCAUGUAAGUACUUUACUUACCUUUACUUUCAUGAACAUUUAAACCUUAUACGUACCUGAGUUAUUUAACUUAAAUUCACAUUCGGUCUCAUCUUGACAUUGCCUAUUGAACCGUUCCGAAUCAAUAAGGAUACUUGGAUAGUUCAUAAAGUUCGUACAAUGCCAACGUCUCAGAUGUGGUCUUACAUGUAAUCAAAUAUCGAUGCAACUGUCCCAGAUAGGGUCUUACACGAAAGUCUCAAAUCAAUGCCAACGUCCCAGACGUGGUCUUACAUAAAAGUCUCAAAUCGAUGCUAACGUCCUAGACGUAGUCUUACACAAAAUCUCAUACCGGAAUCCUAUGUCAUGACAUAUGUAUCCUAACUAUUCCUAUGGUUUGUACGGGGCUUUUGGAUGUCGUAAUUCGAUCGAUUCGAGCUCGAUACAAGUCACACCAUGCUUAUAACAAUUUGACAAUAUGUAAAAUAUAUAUACAUUCCAAUUCGGAAUAUUUAAAACAUAUACAUUCAAAGUUUACAAUAUUUAUUUACUUAUGAACUUACCUUGUACGGAGACGAACGGAUCGGAAUGGCUAUUCGACAACUUUCAACUUCCCCCGAUCCAAAUUCAAUUUCUUUCUCUCUUGAUCUAAAUUAAUUCAAAUUUGACUUGUUUAAUAACAUAUUCACUCAAAUUCAUUUAAAAAUACAUAAUUUGAGCAUUUUGCACUUUAGUCCUUUAACAUUUAAUAUUUUCUCAAUUUAGUCCAUAUUUUAAAAUAACACAAAAUAUUCAAAAUUUCACUAAACCAAUGUUAGGCCUAAUUCUCCUUAGGUCCCUACCAGCCCAUUUAUUUCAUUUAUUUCACAUUUUGACCCCUAAGUUUACAAAUUUCACAAUUUAAUCUUUAAUACACAUUUUUAUCAAAAAUUACUUAAUUAAACAUAAUAAUCUAACAACAUAUAUUUAUUUUUCAUCAUCAAACACAAAAAUCAUCAAGCUAUCAAUAAUGGCAAAUCUCAAAUUCAUCAUCUAAUCAGAAAAUUCAAGCAUGGGCUAGCUAAAACACGAAGCAACGAUCUCAAAAACGUAAAAAUUAUCAAAAAUCGAACAAAAUUCAUACCUCAAAUUUAACUUCAAAGUGCCAAACCCUUAAACAAAGUAAAUGGCUUCGUUUUUUUCUUACAUUAGGCCAUAAAAGAUGAACACCCACUAAUUUAUUGAUUUGUUUUAUUUAUUUCUUAUUAAUAUACCAUUUAUUAUUUUAACCUUAAUGAAGUCUUAAUAAAAAUCACUUAAAUCAUGGACAUAAAUUUCCACUAACCUUAUAAUGACAUAUAAACCUUUUAAGGACUUCCCGUAAAUCAAAUCAUAACAAAUUAGCAUAUUAACAAUGAGAAUGCCACUUUUACUUUUUAUACAAUUUAGCCCUUUUCACAAAUUAAGCACACAAACGGAUAAAUUAAAUCACGAAAAUUUCAUACAUGUCAAUUCACAUACUAUAAGCACGAAAAAUAAUAUUAAAAUAUUUUUUGACUCAGAUUUGUGGUCCCGAAACCACUGUCUGACUAGGGUCUAAAUCGGGCUGUUACAUUCUCCGCAUUAUGGGAAUGAUGUUUCUGUCCAUAUCAUCCCAAAAGUGAUCUUUUCAUCUUGUACAAAGACGACUACUUUGUAUGUUUUGGGAAGGUUGCACAGUCGGUUCGCUAACUUACUGCAUUAGUGGUUGUUGAGCCCAAGAGACAAAAUGGCGUGGCAUUCACCAUUGAGAAAUGAUGAUCUAGUGUAAGGCGGUCCCACAAAAGUGACGGUUAGUUAGAGUCAAGUUCCUUUAAAUAAUAAGGCUAAAAUCUAAGUGGAGCUAGCGGUCGUAGGCAUCCUCUUCCACUAUAACUAGCUUAUUUUGUCAUGAUAAUAAUCACCUAAAAGCCUAGGAUUGAACCCAAGGGGGAUCGAGAUAACCGGAGGCUAGAAUCCCUCAAUCGAAAAACCUCUUUUUCUCAAUACUGUUUAUUUUUACAAUUAUGAUUUCAAUUUAUUUAAUUUCGACUCAUCCACAUUUUUAAUUUUGUUUUAUUUUAUUUUUUUCCCAAGUACGCUGUUUUUCUUGGGCACGACUAUGCCCAGGUUUUCGAAGAAUAAGAAGUUGUAGCAAUCUAGUCCCUGAGGAUUUAACCUUACUUCCCUUAUAUCUUUUCGUUAUUUCAUAUGGAUAGGUUAUUUUUGGUGCUUUCAACGACACACCAGAAACUAAUUAUCAAUCUUGAUUGUUUGCUUGCUCGAGUUUUGAAAGCUAAAUACUAUCCGUAGGGAGAAUUUAUGAGUGCAAGAUUAGGGUCUUACCCUUAUUUUACCUAGGGAAACAUUUGGGGUGCCUAAAGCCUUUUAGAAAAAGGCUUGAGAUGGAGAAUUUGAAACGGAAAGCUGGUGAACCUUUGGAAUGACAUAUGGAUUCCAAAACCUAGAAACAACAUAAUAGAAAAUUAGAACAUUGAUAUAAUAUUUACUAUAGUAGCAAAUUUGAUAAAUAAUGAAAUAUUUUUAAUGGAAAGAGGAUGUGAUCAGAGAUUUACUCCAAGAACAUCAAGUUGAAAGUGUUCUAGGCAUCAACUGGUAAAUCCUAUGCAAAAGGAUGAAGUAGUGUGGAGAUGAGACAAUUUCGGAGUGUACACAGUGAAAGGGGGUACAAAUGGCUCGUUACAAAGGGGCAAAGCUCUCAAAGACACAACAAUACAACUCAAACAAAUGAUAGAAGCCAUUAUUUUACAAAGAUAUGGCAACUCAAAAUACCCAGCAAAAUUAAGAUUAACCUAUGAAGAAUUACAAACAACUAUCUACCACUAUUAGUAAAUCUAGUGCGUAGAAGAUUAAAGUUGAAGCACUCUAUCCAGUUUGUAAUGAGGUUGACGAAACGGUUGCACAUCUUUUCCGGGACUGUAAAUUCACAAGGUAGGUACUUGACGAAAUUGGUUUAACACCCUCUAGUAACGACAUGUAACAAGAUUGGAAAGAAUAGUUAGUGUAAGUUUUCAAUAAUAAUAGUUCAGAAUAGUGCACGAAGUUGGCUAUUACCCUCUGGGCUAUAUGGUACAACCAGAAUAGAGUUUACCAUGAAGGCAUCAGGGAAAUAAUACAAGAUGUGGUGGGUUUCAUUAUAGCAUAUAGAACAGAAAGCAAUCAACUGGAAACAUUUUUAGAAAUUAAUACCAUUACAGAAAGGAAGCACUGGGUGCCCUCAGAAGAAGGUUAGGUUAAAGUAAACUUUGACGCUUCCUAUUUAAAUCAAUUGAAAAAAGUAGUAGCAGGCAUUAUUAUUAGAAAUGAAGCAGGUGUGGCCAUGGGCUCAUGCAUUUACCCGUGGGAUAAUGUGAGCAACCCGGCCACUGCUGAAACCAUCGCUUGUUUGCGGGCAGUAAACUUUGCAGAAGACUUGGGAUCUAGAGAAGUCGGUAUCGAAGGAGACGCCUUAACAGUGAUUAAAAAAUCAAAUUAGAGGAAAAAUGAUAGAUUGAUUAUUGGCAGUAUCGGAAAUGAAAUAAAACGCAAAACUCCAAGGUUUAAUCACUUAUCUUUUAGGCAUAUCUCCCGAGAAGCAAAUGCUGUGGCGCACGAACUAGCAGUUUGGGGGCGACACUUUGACUCACCAUGAUACUGGGUGGAGGAAAUCCCCCUGAUUUAGAUUACCUCCUAAAUUUUGACAGAUGAGGUGGGUAUGGUUCUUGGGUAGAAAGAUUUUGUGAACUAAGAUCGGAAGAAAGGAAGGAAGCAAAGACUCUGACAACACUCAGUGUGUGUGGGACUGGUGGUUUCUGUGGAAGAUAAAACAGAUCGAUGGGAAGGUGACCAGACUCUCACAUGUUCAUCAUCUGAUGCAUUAAGAAAUGGAUUUUUAGGAAGG
rnacentral:lncRNA from 1 species